ACGCUCGACACCUACGGAGGCAGCAGUCGGGAAUAUUGCGCAAUGGAGGAAACUCUGACGCAGUGACGCCGCGUAUGGGAAGAAGGUUUUCGGAUUGUAAACCAUUUUAGACAAGGAAGAAACAAGACAGUACUUGUAGAAUAAGCUCCGGCUAACUACGUGCUAGCAGCCGCGGUAAUCUGAGGCGGGCUGGCGAAGGC
rnacentral:rRNA from 1 species